rnacentral:rRNA from 1 species
AAUAGAUACCCUGGUAGUCCACGCCGUAAACGUUGGGAACUAGAUGUAGGGGCCAUUCCACGGUUUCUGUGUCGCAGCUAACGCAUUAAGUUCCCCGCCUGGGGAGUACGGCCGCAAGGCUAAAACUCAAAGGAAUUGACGGGGGCCCGCACAAGCGGCGGAGCAUGCGGAUUAAUUCGAUGCAACGCGAAGAACCUUACCAAGGCUUGACAUAUACGAGAACGGGCCAGAAAUGGUCAACUCUUUGGACACUCGUAAACAGGUGGUGCAUGGUUGUCGUCAGCUCGUGUCGUGAGAUGUUGGGUUAAGUCCCGCAACGAGCGCAACCCUCGUUCUAUGUUGCCAGCACGUCAUGGUGGGAACUCAUAGGAGACUGCCGGGGUCAACUCGGAGGAAGGUGGGGAUGACGUCAAAUCAUCAUGCCCCUUAUGUCUUGGGCUUCACGCAUGCUACAAUGGCCGAUACAAAGGGCUGCAAUACCGUAAGGUGGAGCGAAUCCCAAAAAGUCGGUCUCAGUUCGGAUUGAGGUCUGC